rnacentral:rRNA from 1 species
CUACGAAGGGGGCUAGCGUUGUUCGGAAUUACUGGGCGUAAAGCGCGCGUAGGCGGACUGAUCAGUUGGGGGUGAAAUCCCAGGGCUUAACCCUGGAACUGCCUCCAAUACUGUCAGUCUUGAGUUCGGGAGAGGUGAGUGGAAUUCCUAGUGUAGAGGUGAAAUUCGUAGAUAUUAGGAAGAACACCAGUGGCGAAGGCGGCUCACUGGCCCGAUACUGACGCUGAGGCGCGAAAGCGUGGGGAGCAAACAGGAUUAGAUACCCUAGUAGUCC